UACGUAGGGUGCAAGCGUUGUCCGGAAUUAUUGGGCGUAAAGAGCUCGUAGGCGGUCUGUCACGUCGGCUGUGAAAUCCCGAGGCUCAACCUCGGGUCUGCAGUCGAUACGGGCAAACUAGAGUAUUGCAGGGGAGACUGGAAUUCCUGGUGUAGCGGUGAAAUGCGCAGAUAUCAGGAGGAACACCGGUGGCGAAGGCGGGUCUCUGGGCAAUAACUGACGCUGAGGAGCGAAAGCUAGGGGAGCAAACAGG
rnacentral:rRNA from 1 species